rnacentral:rRNA from 1 species
GACGAACGCUGGCGGCGUGCCUAAUACAUGCAAGUCGAGCGGACUUUCAAGAAGCUUGCCUUUUGAAAGUUAGCGGCGGACGGGUGAGUAAAACGUGGGCAACCUGCCUGCAAGACGGGGAUAACUUCGGGAAAACGGGGCUAAUACCGGAAAAUAUCUUCCUUCGCAUUAAGGAAGGUUUAAAGGCGGCGCAAGCUGCCGCUUGCAGAUGGGGCCGCGGCGCAUUAGCUAGUUGGUGAGGUAACGGCUCACCAAGGCGACGAUGCGUAGCCGACCUGAGAGGGUGAUCGGCCACACUGGGACUGAGACACGGCCCAGACUCCUACGGGAGGCAGCAGUAGGGAAUCUUCCGCAAUGGACGAAAGUCUGACGGAGCAACGCCGCGGGAGCGAAGAAGGUCUUCGGAUCGUAAAGCUCUGUUGUCAGGGAAGAACAAGUACCGUUCGAACAGGGCGGUACCUUGACGGUACCUGACCAGAAAGCCACGGCUAACUACGUG